GACGUAGGGGGCAAGCGUUGUCCGGAGUUACUGGGCGUAAAGGGCACGCAGGCGGGCGUGCGCGUUUCGGGUGCCAGCCUCUCGCUUAACGAGGGGAGUGCCGGGAAGACGGCGCGUCUUGAGAGCCUCAGAGGAACCUAGAAUUCCGGGUGGAGUGGUGAAAUGCGUAGAGAUCCGGAGGAAUACCAAAGGCGUAGGCAGGGUUCUGGGAGGCGACUGACGCUGAGGUGCGAAAGCCAGGGGAGCCAACGGG
rnacentral:rRNA from 1 species